rnacentral:rRNA from 1 species
AUUGAACGCUGGCGGCAGGCUUAACACAUGCAAGUCGAGCGAGCGGCGGACGUGUGAGUAAUGUCUGGGAAACUGCCUGAUGGAGGGGGAUAACUACUGGAAACGGUAGCUAAUACCGCAUACCAUCAGAUGUGCCCCAAUGGGAUUAGCUAGUAGGUGGGGUAAUGGCUCACCUAGGCGACGAUCCCUAGCUGGUCUGAGAGGAUGACCAGCCACACUGGAACUGAGACACGGCCCAGACUCCUACGGGAGGCAGCAGUGGGGAAUAUUGCACAAUGGGCGCAAGCCUGAUGCAGCCAUGCCGCGUGUGUGAAGAAGGCCCUAGGGUUGUAAAGCACUUUCAGCGAGGAGGCGUUACCCUCAGAAGAAGCACCGGCUAACUCCGUGCCAGCAGCCGCGGUAAUUC